CCUACGGAAGGCAGCAGUGGGGAAUAUUGGACAAUGGGCGCAAGCCUGAUCCAGCCAUGCCGCGUGAGUGAAGAAGGCCUUCGGGUUGUAAAGCUCUUUUGUCAGGGAAGAAACGGUGCGGGCUAAUAUCCUGUGCUAAUGACGGUACCUGAAGAAUAAGCACCGGCUAACUACGUGCCAGCAGCCGCGGUAAU
rnacentral:rRNA from 1 species